rnacentral:rRNA from 1 species
UGGGGAAUAUUGGACAAUGGGCGAAAGCCUGAUCCAGCCAUGCCUCGUGUGUGAAGAAGGUCUUCGGAUUGUAAAGCACUUUAAGUUGGGAGGAAGGGCAGUAAGCGAAUACCUUGCUGUUUUGACGUUACCGACAGAAUAAGCACCGGCUAACUCUGUGCCAGCAGCCGCGGUAAUACAGAGGGUGCAAGCGUUAAUCGGAAUUACUGGGCGUAAAGCGCGCGUAGGUGGUUCGUUAAGUUGAAUGUGAAAGCCCCGGGCUCAACCUGGGAACUGCAUCCAAAACUGGCGAGCUAGAGUAGGGCAGAGGGUGGUGGAAUUUCCUGUGUAGCGGUGAAAUGCGUAGAUAUAGGAAGGAACACCAGUGGCGAAGGCGACCACCUGGGCUCAUACUGACACUGAGGUGCGAAAGCGUGGGGAGCAAACAGG